rnacentral:rRNA from 1 species
CUUUACUGUAGCCUGGUAUUGGGUUCGGGCUUUGACUGCGCAGGACAGGUGGGAGACUGAGAGGUGUGCCUUGCGGGGCACAUGGAGUCAACGGUGAGAUACCACUCUGUCAGAGCUAGAAUUCUAACCUUCACCCGUAAUCCGGGGAAGGAACCGUAUCAGGUGGGCAGUUUGACUGGGGCGGUCGCCUCCUAAAAGGUAACGGAGGCGCGCAAAGGUGUUCUCAGGCUGGUUGGAAAUCAGCCGUAGAGUGUAAAGGCAGAAGAACGCUUGACUGUGAGAGUGACAACUCAAGCAGGGUGGAAACACGGCCUUAGUGAUCCGACGGUAUGCGCGUGGAAGUGCCGUCGCUCAACGGAUAAAAGUUA